UAAACAUUUAUUCAACUGACUUAAGCUUUUUCCCAAAAAUACACAUGUAUUUCAUAACUUUUGGUGUUAUUUUCGAACUCUUUUAAAUCUGUGCUAUUUAUCAAAACAAACAACGAGGACCGUGACAAUUUGCAUGUAUUUAUAUUUGCAAAUAUUUGUUGACAACAAGAAAGACCAUUUAUUUUAAAUUAAUAUUUAGAAGAUAUUAGUCCAAAAAUAAGGUAAAAGUGGAUAUUCAAACUUAAAAACACAUCAAACUUUACUAUUUGUAGUCAAAUUCUAUAAAGUUAUGAAUUCAUUUGAGAUUUAGUUCCAAAUAUAUAAAUUUGAAGAUUAUAUACUAGAUGUAUAUAAGUUUGAAUUAAGCUGACUUUCUAUAUAUAGUUUCAAAGUCAAUAGAUUUAUUGUCUACAGUAUAAACUGUCAAAAGUAAAAGGAUAAAAAAGCUCACACAAAAAAAAGUGGUCGACGGACGGGAUCUCGUUAUAUUAACUAUUAAUAAUUAUCAAAGAUUUUUUUGGCAAAAAAAAGACUAUCAAAGAUUUAAAGAUAACUACAAUACAACGGUUCUUUUAUAGACACACCCAUUCAAAAACAAUAGAAACCAAAGUAUAUUAUAACAAGCAUCGGAAAUAUGGUAAUUUAUACCAGUAAACUUCAUUAUAAAUGAAGUAGAAUACGGUCUAACAUCUAUAUUAUUAAAUUAUCGAUUAUAUAAUUAGCAAACGAUAAUAAAAAGUGUUCAAAUUUGAAUGGUUAAGUGUUUUUGGAAGAAAGGAUGCGAUGGACGGAUAGUGGAAAUGUAGUUUCUCCAUUUUAAUGAAACAGGUUUGCUUUAAGAUUAUGAGUUUUUUUAUAAAAAAAAUAACAAUCUCGUUACAUCACGUUAAAGAGAAAACAAUGCACGGAUUGUUUAUACUUAUUCAGAAAAAGAAAAAAAAAGAAACACGAGUAUGUUCCAACAAUUUUGGAAGUUUGGCGAAAUCACUUUACACGUAGAUUCACACUAGCUAACCUCUGUCUUACGUGAUUGGCCAACAAAUUAACAAGCAUGUAUAAACAAACA